UACACACCGCCCGUCAAGUCAUGGGAGUUGGUUUUACCCGAAGAUCGUGUGCUAACUUUGGAGGCAGCGAGCCACGGUAAGAUCAGUGACUGGGACU
rnacentral:rRNA from 1 species